CUUGCACCGAGCGGAUGAGUUGCGAACGGGUGAGUAACGCGUAGGUAACCUGCCUCUUAGCGGGGGAUAACUAUUGGAAACGAUAGCUAAUACCGCAUAAAAGUCGAUAUCGCAUGAUAUUGAUUUGAAAGGUGCAAUUGCAUCACUAAGAGAUGGACCUGCGUUGUAUUAGCUAGUUGGUGAGGUAACGGCUCACCAAGGCGACGAUACAUAGCCGACCUGAGAGGGUGAUCGGCCACACUGGGACUGAGACACGGCCCAGACUCCUACGGGAGGCAGCAGUAGGGAAUCUUCGGCAAUGGACGGAAGUCUGACCGAGCAACGCCGCGUGAGUGAAGAAGGUUUUCGGAUCGUAAAGCUCUGUUGUAAGAGAAGAACGAGUGUGAGAGUGGAAAGUUCACACUGUGACGGUAACUUACCAGAAAGGGACGGCUAACUACGUGCCAGCAGCCGCGGUAAUACGUAGGUCCCGAGCGUUAUCCGGAUUUAUUGGGCGUAAAGCGAGCGCAGGCGGUUAGAUAAGUCUGAAGUUAAAGGCUGUGGCUUAACCAUAGUACGCUUUGGAAACUGUUUAACUUGAGUGCAGAAGGGGAGAGUGGAAUUCCAUGUGUAGCGGUGAAAUGCGUAGAUAUAUGGAGGAACACCGGUGGCGAAAGCGGCUCUCUGGUCUGUAACUGACGCUGAGGC
rnacentral:rRNA from 1 species